AAAGAGAGAUUAAUCAAAGAAAACAGAAGGCGUGAAAAGAAAAUCAUGAAAGAGAGACGGCGGGGAGAAAGAGGAAAAAGGGAGAAAGAAAGGGUUAUAUUUUUAUUUUGGUGACUUUAUAAAUUCUUCAAGUAUUCUCUUGAUCUUUAAAAAAAAUAAUAGUUAGGGUGAAUACUAUACUGGGAUUUGCAGCGCCGUCUCUAUCAGUAAAACUCAAGCAAGCUUUCAGUUUUGGUUCAAAGGAUGCUUCUAUAAUUGAGAGCCAGAACUCAAGUUUGAUCAAGAAAAUGAUGUCCAUUUCUUGGAUGCAUGGCCAAAGAGUGCUAACGUAGGUAAUUUUGUUUUUGUAUUUGAGGUAAUUGUAUUUAUUAUUGCCAUUUCCUA